rnacentral:rRNA from 1 species
AGACCUCAGAUCGGAUGAGAUUACCCGCUGG